AGAGUUUGAUCCUGGCUCAGGAUAAACGCUGGCGGCGCACAUAAGACAUGCAAGUCGAACGAACUUAACCAUUAGUUUACUAUUGGAGCGGUUAGUGGCGGACUGGUGAGUAACACGUAAGCAACCUGCCUAUCAGAGGGGAACGAACAGUUAGAAGUAGACUGCUAAUAACCGCAUAUGCCUUAGAAUCACAUGGUUCGAAGGGAAAGGAGCAAUCCGCUGAUAGAUGGGCGUUGCGU
rnacentral:rRNA from 1 species